UACGGAGGGUGCAAGCGUUGUCCGGAUUUAUUGGUUUUAAAGGGUGCGUAGGCGGCUGAUUAAGUCCGGGGUGAAAGUUUGUAGCUCAACUACAAAAGUGCCCUGGAUACUGAUAGGCUAGAGUACAGGCGAGGCUGGUGGAACGGGUGGUGUAGCGGUGAAAUGCAUAGAUACCACCCAGAACACCGAUUGCGAAGGCAGCCAGCUAGACUGUUACUGACGCUGAGGCGCGAAAGCCAGGGGAGCGAACGGG
rnacentral:rRNA from 1 species